rnacentral:sRNA from 1 species
AUACAAGCAUGUUGCCGAAGACAGUAGGAGCUAAGCGUAAUUCUGAUAAUUCAGAUCCUACCGAGGAACAAUCAUUACACUAUGUUUAUGAUUAUCACCCUCUCUGUCUUUAUGGCGGAGAGGUUUUUUCGU